rnacentral:rRNA from 1 species
ACGGAGGGUGCAAGCGUUGUUCGGAAUUAUUGGGCGUAAAGCGCGUGUAGGCGGGAUGGCAAGUCGGGUGUGAAAGCCCUCAGCUCAACUGAGGAAGUGCGCCCGAAACUACUGUUCUUGAGUAUCGGAGAGGGUGGCGGAAUUCCCGGUGUAGAGGUGAAAUUCGUAGAUAUCGGGAGGAACACCAGUGGCGAAGGCGGCCACCUGGCCGAAUACUGACGCUGAGACGCGAAAGCGUGGGGAGCAAACAGGA